UAAAAUCUAUGCAAAGUAAGUUUAAGCUUUAAACAUUAUAAAAUGGUCAUAUCUUUUUCUAUUUGAUACAUGCAAAAGAAAGGGAAAUAUAUGGCUAAACUUGUGACGAAUAAAAGUUCUACACACAUUUUAUUAAGCGAUUCUUCAGAACUUUUAUUCAUAUGAAAGCCAAGGGAAACUGGGAAUUGGGGGAAGGGCUCUUUUUCGAGGAGAGACUAGCAGCGUGUCUUGGAUUUACACAGUGGAUUGCAUACAGAGGCAGCUAGAAGUCACGACAGAGUUAUGAGAUGGCAUGCAUCUUGUACCGGAGAUCCAAGGCAUACGGGAAAAGAAAUACCUUAAAGCAACCAACAAUAUAUUGUUUAAACUGAAGCAAACGUUCAAACAUGGCCGCAAAGCUAAAUGUGCGAAUCACAGAUACAAGGAAAUGAGGUGUGUCUUUUGUUUAGGAUAAUGCUACUAGAGUUAUUGCCGAGGGUCUGUGACCGGAUCAGAAAAUGGUGUCAAAAGUAAUGACCCGAAAUCCUUUAUUUGUGACAUCAAAUACGUUGGCUAUUGAUGCUCUACAAAAGAUGGUCUAAGAACAAAAAGUUUAAUACUGUAAAAGAUUUGAAGAAGAAAGAAAGGAAAAGACAUGGGAAGACAGGGGAAAUAGAGUACAAUUAUACCUGUGACUAUGUUAUAAUUUAUAGAGUACAUGUUACAUUGGAUGAAAACUUGCAAUCGUUUUAGUAUGUAAUUCAAAAUGUGUUGCAUAGUGCAUAGUUCAUUUUCAUUAUGCAAGACAGGGGAAAUUUUAUAGAGUAUGUAAUUCAAAUUGGUUAUUAAAACUUCUCUCUAAUAUGUUAAUUCAAAUAUGAGUGAAGUCAGAGCCCGAUCAGGGUCAAACGACGUAUGAAUGUCGAUAUUUUAAGUCAAAAUUUGGGGUAUGACAAUAUCAAAUUGUUUUUUUCA